rnacentral:tRNA from 1 species
GGGCGAUUAACUCAGUGGCUAGAGUGCAUCCCCUACAAGGAUGAGGUCGGAGGUUCGAAUCCUCCAUCGCCCACCA